rnacentral:rRNA from 1 species
GACGAACGCUGGCGGCGUGCCUAAUACAUGCAAGUCGAACGCUUCUUUCCUCCCGAGUGCUUGCACUCAAUUGGAAAGAGGAGUGGCGGACGGGUGAGUAACACGUGGGUAACCUACCCAUCAGAGGGGGAUAACACUUGGAAACAGGUGCUAAUACCGCAUAACAGUUUAUGCCGCAUGGCAUAAGAGUGAAAGGCGCUUUCGGGUGUCGCUGAUGGAUGGACCCGCGGUGCAUUAGCUAGUUGGUGAGGUAACGGCUCACCAAGGCCACGAUGCAUAGCCGACCUGAGAGGGUGAUCGGCCACACUGAGACUGAGACACGGCCCAGACUCCUACGGGAGGCAGCAGUAGGGAAUCUUCGGCAAUGGACGAAAGUCUGACCGAGCAACGCCGCGUGAGUGAAGAAGGUUUUCGGAUCGUAAAACUCUGUUGUUAGAGAAGAACAAGGACGUUAGUAACUGAACGUCCCCUGACGGUAUCUAACCAGAAAGCCACGGCUAACUACGUG